UACAGAGGGGGCAAGCGUUGUUCGGAAUUACUGGGCGUAAAGGGCGCGUAGGCGGCCUGUUAAGUCGAACGUGAAAUCCCCGGGCUCAACCCGGGAACUGCGUCCGAUACUGGCAGGCUUGAAUUCGGGAGAGGGAUGCGGAAUUCCAGGUGUAGCGGUGAAAUGCGUAGAUAUCUGGAGGAACACCGGUGGCGAAGGCGGCGAUCCUGGACCGAGAUUGACGCUGAGGCGCGAAAGCCAGGGGAGCAAACGGG
rnacentral:rRNA from 1 species